GGACAAUGGGCGAAAGCCUGAUCCAGCCACGCCGCGUGAGUGAUGAAGGCCUUCGGGUUGUAAAGCUCUGUCGGGAGGGAAGAAGAUCUGACGGUACCUCCCAAGAAAGCACCGGCUAACUCCGUGCCAGCAGCCGCGGUAAUACGGAGGGUGCAAGCGUUGCUCGGAAUUACUGGGCGUAAAGCGCACGCAGGCGGCCUGCAAGUCGGAUGUGAAAGCCCCGGGCUCAACCCGGGAACUGCAUUCGAAACUGCUGGGCUUGAGUUCGGAAGAGGGUGGUGGAAUUCCUGGUGUAGAGGUGAAAUUCGUUGAUAUCAGGAGGAACACCGGCGGCGAAGGCGGCCACCUGGUCCGAUACUGACGCUCAUGUGCGAAAGCGUGGGUAGCAAACAGGAUUAGAUACCCUGGUAGUCCACGCCGUAAACGAUGAAUGCUAGGUGUUGGAGGUAUUCACCCCUUCAGUGCCGAAGUUAACGCAUUAAGCAUUCCGCCUGGGGAGUACGGCCGCAAGGUUAAAACUCAAAGGAAUUGACGGGGG
rnacentral:rRNA from 1 species